GCCACGAGAAUCAGAGCCCACACACACGCUCAGCCACGAGAAUCAGAGCCCACACACACGCUCAGCCACGAGAAUCAGAGCCCACACACACCCUCAGCUACGAGAAUCAGAGCCCAUACACACGCUCAGCCACGAGAAUCAGAGCCCACACACACCCUCAGCCAACGAGAAUCAGAGCGCACACACACGCUCAGCCAACGAGAAUCAGAGCCUCACACACCCCCAGCCACAAGAAUCAAAGCCCACACACACACACGCUCAGGCACGAGAAUCAUAGUCUAUACACACAAUACCAUUGACAAUGGUUAGUUUUUAGGUGUUUAAGGGUAAACAAAUCCUUCUAAGUUCACAGGGCCUUUCAGUCUCAUGUUGCAUACAGACGUCUCACUUCUGUGUGGGGAGUCAUGUGACCUGGCAUGCUUUUUGUAAGUGUUCACAUGUCUCUCUGUCUCCCCUCUAGGCGUUAAGAGAAACGGGGGGGGGCGGGGAGGUGAGGCGCCCAUGCAGCUUAGAGAAGGAGGCCCGGAAAGGGCCUCAUGCUGUCCAGCGUGGUUGUGCUGCGGCUGAUGCAGAUGUCCAGUGGAGACAUUGGGACACGAUGGGCCGUCGUGCCGGAACAGAGCAGCUUCUCCGGCUGCAGUGGCGAUUUCAUCAGGAAGACAAUCAGCUUGAAUUCACACUUUCGAAACGCGCUUCGUCUGAAUGAAAAAGAACAGAGGAGCUGGCAGAGUGAAAUGCAGCCAAAAUGCAAAGAAAUCUGUAUUCUGCUCCCCUCAACACGUGCAGACGAUGAGCUGUUGGGGUCAUUUGCCUCCUUUUAUUAAUUUUUAAAUUGAAUAAUAGCUUAAGGUAUGAACACUCCUGUUUAUACUUUGUAUUUUACAGACUUCACUUUGAUAUUUAAUUAAAAAAUUUGGAAAAUUA